AAUUCCCUUUCUUCGUUUGGCUGUUCUGUAAUUAACAGAAGUUGGAGGGGGCGUUGACGGACUGAAACUUUGAACCUUGUUUCGCCGGCUAUGGUUGCUGCUACUAUAAGAGUCCUCCGAGUCAUAGGCUGCUGCUGCUGCUGCCGCCGCCGCCAUCUUCUUCUCCGAUGACUGUUUUGGCUUCUUCACGAAAUUCUGUGAAGUCCCAACAAUCUAUAAAUAAUCAAAAUUAAAAAUUAAUUACUUCCUCCGUCUCAUAUUAAUAGUCAUGAUUACUAAAAAUAGUUGUCUCAAAUUAUUUGUCAUUUUAGAAGUUCAAGACAAAAUUGAUUAUUUUUUUACCCUUAGUAAUAAUUGUUCUUGAAGAUAGAGAUAACACAUAAUUAGAAUAAAUAUUCAAUGAAGAGAUUAUAUCUAAAAUAUAAAUAUGGAUAAAAUAGAAUAAUUCUUUUCCUAAUUAAUAUAAGAAACACAUAAUAUGAGAGGGAGAGGGAGUACAACAUUCCAAGAAUUGCUAAUGGGGAAUAUAUUAAAUGCUUAAUAAGUAUCUAUCCCCAAUCUAUAAAACCCACCUGUUGAUAAUGCCAAAGUUUGUUGCCAAUAAUGGACCAGUAAUGUGAGUGGAAUUU
rnacentral:lncRNA from 1 species